UUAAUAUGUAGAAUUCCACGCAGUAUAACAGUGUCUGCUGCCACAUUGUGUGAGAUUUCAUUGCUAAAUGCCAAGGAUGUGUUUCAUCUGUUUGCUUAUUAUCCUGAAGCCGAGAAAAUGGUUCUUCAGAAGGUCAGUAUGCGCAUCCAGAACUCACUUCAUCCAAUCAGAGAAGCUUUUGACAUCGGGGUUGCUAGUAAUCCCAGGCAUGUUGUAUUCCACAAAGACCUUGGAAAAAAUGUAAAGGUGAAGAAGACCGGACCUGGAAUAGUGCCCUGUGCAUCGAGCAGAUGCGCAGGCUUGAGGAGCAG